rnacentral:rRNA from 1 species
UACGAAGGGGGGCUAGCGUUGUUCGGAUUUACUGGGCGUAAAGCGCACGUAGGCGGAUCGUUAAGUCGGGGGGUGAAAUCCUGGAGCUCAACUCCAGAACUGCCUUCGAUACUGGCGAUCUUGAGUCCGGAAGAGGUGAGUGGAAUUCCCGGUGUAGCGGUGAAAUGCGCAGAUAUCGGGGAAGAACACCCGUGGCGAAGGCGGCCCACUGGAUCGGUCUGACGCUGAGGUGCGAAAGCGUGGGGGAGUAAACAGG